rnacentral:piRNA from 1 species
AUUAUGAAGCCAGAAUUGAAGAUACUUG